rnacentral:lncRNA from 1 species
CUUUAUUAUAAUCCAACCUACAAUUUUCUUCAAUCCCAAAUUCCAAAUCAUACCUCAAUUUCUUCUCCGACUCUCGUCGACUCGCCGCUGCCGACUGCCAUUGCUACGAACAAAGAUACUCAUUUGUCUGUAUUUUUUCAUGCUUGUUUAUAUUGCUUAAUUCAUAAUUCUAGUUCUUUUUAAAUAUUUUGUGAUGGAGAAUUUGAUUUGGGGUGAACUGUGGAGCCGGAGGAUUUUGUACCGUCACUCGUGUUUUCGGUCUGAAUUAUUUUCUGAUUUUGAUAGGGAAUCACCGAAUGGGAUUAAGAUUCAUUGCUAAAAUAUUGAAUGGGGUUAGGAUUAUAUUAAAAUUUGAAUGGGAUUGUUGGGAAUAGGAUUAUAUUGAAAUUUGAAUGGGAUUAGGAUUAUAUUGAAACUUGAAUGUAAUUUGUUAUUCUAAUUAGUUUAAUGCACUCCAUGGUGUUGGUUAUUCCCAUUUAGCAACUAAUAUCAGAAUCCACAUUGUUCAAUCUCCCUGAAAUUUGAAUUAUCUAAGUCUAGUUUCGCCAGUACCUAAUUGAUGCAUAAUGGUUUGAUAUUUAAAUGAGUUAUGGGUUAGUCUGUGUAUUUUGAGAAUGGUGGCAGUGAUUGAUAGUGUACAGAGAGUUUUUUAAGGCAAAUUAUUAUUCAUGAUUUUGCACACGUGUUACUGGUAAUUGUGCUAAUCCUGGGUACUAAAAAUAGUUAUCUUGAUCAGUUCUUUUGGUUGUUUUUGGGUUUCUGAUGCAGAUAAGUCUCAUAAACGUAAAGUUCCUUUACUUUCACCUCUUUCAGUCCAGCUAACAACUUCGGUGCCAAUCAAUAUGUUUCCAUCUUUUAAGUUGAUGACUCUAUUUACUAUGCUGUCAUUUUGGUCUUGUCAUAUUUGAGCAUUAACGUGUUAAACGUUUUAACUUAAAGAAUACUUGUUCAUUCAACAUUAUUACAUUGACUUUAUUAAGUACUUUUAAUCCCCCCAUCAAAAACCCUGGAUCCGUCCUUGCUCAAACCCACAACCACUAGAGCAUGAAACCUUGUGAAUUACUAUAGAUAUUUGUGCGUGAUUUGCUUGAUUUUGAUUGUACUGCUCUCAAAAUGCCAAGGCAUAAACUUUUUCAUAAGGUGGUUCAAUAUUGCCUCAAAUCAGAUACACGUUCUGAGUUCUAGUCUCUUUGCCUAAAUUGAGACGUGAAUUACUAUAAAUUUAUGUGUAUUGUUUGCUUAUUUUCUCUUCAUAUUGCUCUUGAUGGUAAGGUUUAAUCAAUAAAAUAAACUUCUAGACGAGAAGCAUCAACAGGUACAUGUCCUAAGUUCAAGUCUCAUGGUAAUUCAACUGCUGACAAUCGAGCACUUGUGAGACAAUUGAUGAAAAAUGAAUUUGGGCGGUAAGUGGGAGGACUAGAAUUAUAUGAGUUGCCUUUACAAGCAUUCUCCUCAACGAAUAUAGCGUCAGGCCUCAAGGAGCCUUUCCACGAGCCCGAUGCACUCAACCUUAUCAGCCCAUCAUGCAUCAUACUCUCGUCUGAUAUCCUCCUUAAUUAAAAUCUCAUUGGAUUUAUUCAACGCAGCCAUUUGGUAGAAAUUAAUGUUCAGAUUUUAAUCUAAAUCAAAGUUAAUAAUUACUUUUAAUCACAUAUUUUAUAGAACUCACAACUUUUUAACCAUAAAUUUCAUUAUCUUCGAUCAAAAUCUAUUAAAAAUCUGAUUUUAAUCUCCA